UCGGGCCACCGUCUCCCCGCUGGGGAGAGGGGAGCGGCUGACGUUGCGGCUUCCCCCUUCUCCCCUCGGGGAGAAGGUGCCCGAA
rnacentral:miRNA from 2 species